rnacentral:rRNA from 1 species
CAAGAGCGUAUGUAAAAGUUGUUGCAGUUAAAAAGCUCGUAGUUGAACCUUGGGCUUGGUUGGCCGGUCCGCUUUUUUGCGAGUACUGGAUUCAACCGAGCCUUUCCUUCUGGCUAACCAGUCGUUUCGGCGGCUGGCGAACCAGGAUUUUUACUUUGAGAAAAUUAGAGUGUUCAAAGCAGGCAUUAGCUUGAAUAUAUUAGCAUGGAAUAAUAGAAUAGGACGUUAUGGUUCUAUUUUGUUGGUUUCUAGGACCAUCGUAAUGAUUAAUAGGGACGGUCGGGGGCAUCAGUAUUCAGUUGUCAGAGGUGAAAUUCUUGGAUUUACUGAAGACUAACUACUGCGAAAGCAUUUGCCAAGGACGUUUUCAUUAA